UACGGAGGGUGCAAGCGUUAUCCGGAUUCACUGGGUUUAAAGGGUGCGUAGGUGGGUCUGUAAGUCAGUGGUGAAAUCUCCGAGCUUAACCCGGAACUGCCGUUGAUACUAUCUGUCUUGAAUAUUGUGGAGGUAAGCGGAAUAUGUCAUGUAGCGGUGAAAUGCUUAGAUAUGACAUAGAACACCAAUUGCGAAGGCAGCUUACUACACAGUUAUUGACGCUGAGGCACGAAAGCGUGGGGAUCAAACAGG
rnacentral:rRNA from 1 species